rnacentral:lncRNA from 12 species
AUGGAACGAGUGUGUGUCCUGGCGCAGAGUGGCUUGGCGCCCUCAGAGCUGGGUGGGCAUGGAGACAGCCGCGUCCAUCCCCGAUAUGGCCAUCGGGCUCAAAGUAUCCGUUUCCAGGAGCCUCAGCCCCAAGCCCCAGCCCCACAGCCUGGUAAGGUCUCCACCGGCUCCCCCGAGCCCUCUGCCUAUGCCCUGGGAAUGGCAGCUCUGAGGCAGGGGAGCAGGGCUCAGGUCUGGGAAGAGCCCGCAUCCUGCCCUGGCUUGUCCUGUGCCCCCGGGCUCUGGGCGGGGGGGGUGGUGGUGUCAGGGGCAGCACAGCCUGGAGCCCCCACAGCCUGUAUUCUGAGCCUCAGGCCUCCAGAAACCAGCCCAGUGACAGGACAAGGAGGGGGGCCCCUCCUUGCCCUGCUGACCCCCGCCAUUCUGGCCCAGGGGACCCAGCCACCCACAGGGUCAGCAGUUGUCGUUGGGGCUCCUUCUGCCUGGCCCUACCCCACCCCCACCCAGAGGCCUGGGCCCCCGCCCCAGCCCUGGUCAGCCUGCUACCCUCCCCCUCCGGGACUAUUUAUAAAGCCUGGGCUUGGAGCCUCCCGGGAACAGGAGCCAGAGGUCCAGGGCUCGGAGGCUCCUCACCUUCCUGUGCCCGUGGGCCGGGCAGUGUCUGCUUUCAGCCCAGGAAAGGCCCCAACCCAGGCACUGAGGGUGCAGGGAGGCCGAGCUUGUGGGGGUGCUGCCGGGCCCUCAAAAGCAUCCCAGGGCCUAAUGGGGGCUGAGUGUUCACGGGAGGCAUCGGGGCCUGCCCACACCUCCUCGCCACCCCACUGCAAGCCCCAGAGGCACCCUCCCUCUAACCCACCCCCCCCCACUGCCUCAGGGUGCCAUUCACAGCUCUUCGCCAAAUGCGCAAAACCCACUUCUUCAUGCAGGCCUGCCCUCGUCCCUCCACCUGAAGCAUCCCUUCCACUAGCCCUUUUCCAGCAGACUCCCACCCAUCCUUCAUCCUUCAGGUCUUCAGAGCCUAUCUGA